UACAGAGGGGGCAAGCGUUGUUCGGAAUUACUGGGCGUAAAGGGCGCGUAGGCGGCCUUCUAAGUCGAACGUGAAAUCCCCGGGCUCAACCCGGGAACUGCGUCCGAUACUGGAAGGCUUGAAUCCGGGAGAGGGAUGCGGAAUUCCAGGUGUAGCGGUGAAAUGCGUAGAUAUCUGGAGGAACACCGGUGGCGAAGGCGGCAUCCUGGACCGGUAUUGACGCUGAGGCGCGAAAGCCAGGGGAGCAAAGCAGG
rnacentral:rRNA from 1 species